ensembl:lncRNA
CACACGACCAUCCCUCUGACCAUACUUAGACACGGUCAUGGUCUAGAGAGGAAGGAUAGACUCUGUAUACCUUGCUGGAGGACACACCUUGCGAACAGUUACUGAAUGUACAUUGGUAAGAAUUACGACUCUGGUGACACUUGGUGAUGGGCUAAUCAGCCUUCAGGAGACACAUGACAGCUUUAUGACCAGAAAAAUCAACACACACAAUGACAGAAACACAAACCACACACACACUUGUACAGAUACAUAAGCUGAAAUACCUGAUCAGACAGCCUGUAAUUACCACACACUUGCAUUUCUGGUUUUUGUUGAAGAAAUGACAGCAGUUUGAGAUGUCUGCAGGUCAAAGAAUCAAAACAUACAAGAGAGAAGGUCUUGGUUUGGGGGUAUAAUAUUACAGUUAAAACUGAAUAAUUGUAAAUCAUGCUUCUAUAGGAGUGUUCCGCAUUGUGCUUUUAUUUCCAACAGCAUGUGGUUUGUCAGAGAAUUAGUCAGUGACAUGAAAUGAAACAUUUUUGCACGUUAGGUAUAUUUUGUUUAUUUUAGUUACCCACCUUAAAUGCUGAACUGCUUUCUUUACUGCACAAUAUGGGCUGAGGGGCAUGCAAUAAUGAUCUGUGUUGACAGUUAUAAACGCUGUUCUAUGACAGGAUCAGUCUAUGGACAGGAUAUGUUACAUUUUUAAAACAUAAUCAGUGUGCAGAUUAUUUAACCCUCUGUGGUAUAGAAUUGCCAUAUGGCAACAAUUAAUUUUACACUUAUUUCCUUGUUAUUCUGAAAAAGAUAUCUGUAGCAAUAUGGUAAUUAAAAUGGGCGGCCUUAAGGUUGUCAAUGAUGUGCUGUUUUUAAGUCAAAUGACAUUUGAAUGUUCUUUCAAAACACUUUUUCCCACUUUCACC